UCAACGUGUCUCUCCUCAAGUCUGCAAACUUUCACCGUGGUUUUCUCCUAGGUUUAAGGCCAGCUGCUUUCUGGGCACUUGGGGGUAGCAAGACGAAAAGCAGCUUAAGCUUUGGCCUCAGGGAACGGACAGCGGCAUGCAGGGGAAAGUAUGACACAAGCUGCCUUUUAGGACAUUCCCCCUGAAGGUAAUAUUACUGUCCAGCGGAAAUAUAUUCAUGGGAAGCAGGAAUGUGAAACCAACCUCUAACCCCUGGGGCCCACGUCCAGACUCUGCCUUCCCUGCUUGUAUGCUGUAUUUAUGAUAACUGUUUCCUGAUUUUGCAGGCUGAACUAGUGUUUCUGGUUCUUCCCUCAGGGAGCAAUCAUCUAACCCUGCCUUUUCCCUCUUUCCUAAUUUGAGAAUCCUUAUUCUCUCUCUUAUAACCCAAAGCAGAAUUCGAGAUUAAAUAUGUACUUUUCAUGUGCCUCAGUUUCUUGAAUAAAUGAAUAAAUCAAAACAUUUUUUUUCUGGAUUCCCUUUUCUCAAGGGCUUAACACUCUGAAAAAACUACUUCUGAUCUGAAAUAUUUAUCACUGAUGAUGGUUUAAAGCAUGUGCUCAUAACAUUUUUGUUGCCAUGGACCCUGUCAGCAAUUAGUGAAAUCU